UUUAUAUUUCCCCGAAUUGCGCUGUCAAUUGCAGUGUUUGUUUUGGAGGUGGUGCAGAUGGUUUCACGGAAGUGGAUUCAAUGUUAAACAGUAGUGACGGUGCUUUCGUGGUUUUAAGAGAAAGUUUGAGGACGUACAUGUUUCCGCGGUACUCUCGUGAGCUAAACAUUGAACGGUUGGCUGAAUAAGUCUAACAAGAAUUGUGCUUUAUACAGAUUCCUAUACUCUGUUAAUUCGCAAAAGAUUUUCUGCCGCUCGCUGCCUCUACGUAUCCUUGACAUGCACGACUGCGGCAGGUCAAGAGCGGAGACCGAAAAUUUGUUUUUACCAGUAAUUCACGAAAAACUCGAGUUUCAACAAACGGCGAAGAAUAAUGAACUUAUCCAUUCAUACAGCACAGUGCCAGAGAAGAUACUGAGUAUACACCAGGAAUUAGCUAAUAGGCUAUCAGAAUUACCAUUCUCGGCACCAAUCGAAUACAUUUAUAAUCCUCUGGACUACGCUUUUGAUGUCCAUGCUCAAUUUGUAAAUAAAUUCUGCCACUCAGAAAAGCAAAUUUUAUUUCUUGGUAUGAAUCCUGGACCAUGGGGUAUGUCGCAAACUGGGGUACCAUUUGGUGAAGUGACGAUAGUGAGAGACUGGUUAGGUAUUAGUGGGGAAGUUAGAUGCCCGUCUAAACAAUGCCCUAAAAGACCUGUGCUGGGUUUCAGCUGUAAGAGAAGAGAACUUAGUGGUUGGAAGUUCUGGAACUUCUUCAAAAGCAUAUGUUUGAAUCCACUCAGGUUCUUCAGACAUGCUUUUGUUUAUAAUUACUGUCCAUUGGCAUUUAUGACAGCAACAGGAAAGAAUGUAACGCCAGCAGAAAUGAAGAGUAGUGAUCGCAAGAUGAUAGAUUCCCUUUGUGAGAGAGCAUUCUGCAAAGUACUGGAUCUGUUACAUGUGGAUACAAUAAUUGCAGUUGGGAAGUAUGCUGAGAAGCGUGCUGCUUCUGUGACAAAAGCAAAUGGAUUGAACCACAUAAAGGAGUGAAGAGAGAAGGUGAUAAGCAGGAAGGAGGCUGUCGAAUGCUGGCUCAGAGGUGACAUGUGAUAUCAACAUGGAGCACCCUGUCUGUCAUACAGAUUGUUACUAUUCUACAUCCCAGCCCACGGAAUUUCAAUUCAAAAAACUGGGAAGAAGAAACUAAAGCACUAUUACAGAAAAAUGAUUUAAUGAAAUUUUUUUGUGAUGCUUGAAAUAUAUUAUACAGAACAACAUUGUUAAUGACAUUCCAGUUGAGAGCAAAUGUUCUAUAAUGCAAAUACUGAAUAUUCCAAGACUGUGCAUCAUUGCUCAAUUGGUAUAGGGUGUGCCAUGAAAGUGAGCCCCUUAUGUCAAUGAUAAUGUUUCAGUAGUGUAGCUGACAGCAAUUGCUGUUUGUCACUCAUAGAUAAACCACUUGAAAAGGCAGUUUACAGACAUGGAGCUCAGUGUGGUACAAUUGUGAGUAUAUUUUACAGAGUUAAAUAUACCACAACACUUGUAUUAGAAUAAUCAGUAUUUCAGUUUUUGUGAAGCAUAAUCUUGUACCAUUGUAACAUGUAGUAAGAAUGUUGGUGACACUGUUUGAAGAACAGAAAAUUACUUGGAGCAAAAACUAGCAAGUAAGACAUAAUGUAGUGCACAGGAAGCAAUAAAAGAUUCAGACCA